AGUGAACGCUGGCGGUAGGCCUAACACAUGCAAGUCGAACGGCAGCACAGUAAGAGCUUGCUCUUACGGGUGGCGAGUGGCGGACGGGUGAGGAAUACAUCGGAAUCUACUUUUUCGUGGGGGAUAACGUAGGGAAACUUACGCUAAUACCGCAUACGACCUACGGGUGAAAGCAGGGGAUCUUCGGACCUUGCGCGAUUGAAUGAGCCGAUGUCGGAUUAGCUAGUUGGCGGGGUAAAGGCCCACCAAGGCGACGAUCCGUAGCUGGUCUGAGAGGAUGAUCCGCCACACUGGAACUGAGACACGGUCCAGACUCCUACGGGAGGCAGCAGUGGGGAAUAUUGGACAAUGGGCGAAAGCCUGAUCCAGCCAUACCGCGUGGGUGAAGAAGGCCUUCGGGUUGUAAAGCCCUUUUGUUGGGAAAGAAAAGCAGCAGGUUAAUACCCCGCUGUUCUGACGGUACCCAAAGAAUAAGCACCGGCUAACUUCGUG
rnacentral:rRNA from 1 species